GGGUGUGUAGCUCAGGUGGUUAGAGCGCAGUCCUGAUAAGACUGAGGUCCCUGGUUCGAGUCCAGGCAUACCCACCA
rnacentral:tRNA from 1 species